AGGAACGGAGGAGAUGAAUCGGGUGGGUUUCGGUAGACAAACGGAUCCUGGAUCCGGGUCAAACCGAGUAAACAAAAUCAAUCACACAGGAGGAGGGUCUCUCGUUUGUACGUGUGAUAAGAAAUCAAAAAAAUGGAGAAGAUUACUACUACUACUACUACUACGAGCGGUCUUCACCCCUUCUCUUUCCCAUUAUACCCACCUUCACCCCCACCCCCAAUUACUCAAACCCUAAUUUCACCUUACUCUCUUUUUCCCCUUUUAUAUUAUUCAAUCCACCAUCCAUUAUUCCAUCCCUUUGUUUCAUUCGAUCACCACUUUCUCUGUGCGUCUUCUUUCUAACGUACGCUUCCCCUUUAGUAUCCCACAAGGGUAUCGACCUAUUCGCUCUGUCGGUGAUUCUUGGUGUCUAAAUUUUGAAUCUUUUUACUGGGACUGUUUGUUUACGUUGCGAUUUUCUGCCACUAUCUAAUUAUUGGCUAAAAAGCGAGCCAACAUGGAUGAGUUUGGAGGUCCUCGACUCGAAGGCACUGGUAACACCUUUAAACGAAAGAGGACCCAAACCAGCAGAAGACCGAAACCCGAAGUUCCGGCAUUACCCGAAAACCAUGAUCAAUCAUCCUUAUCAUCAACACCACCGUCAGAUGAAGCCGGAAAGAUAUCAAGUGAUGAGAAUGCCGUUGAUGCUAAUCCUAAGAGAAAAGUAUACAAUCUUAAUCAAUGUGUUACAAGAUCAGAAAGUGAUUACUCAAGUAAGAGAUAUAAUAAUGAAUCGCAUAGCAAUGGUGGCUCGAUAGAUGCAAAUGAAAAUAAAUUAAAAAAAGUCAAACUGAAGUUAGGUGGUGUGACUAGGACUAUUCAACCCAAGUUUAAUUCCGCAACUUCGAAGAAUUCAGGAUCUUUGGAUGUGACUCGUGCUCGGCCAAAGUUGAUUCUUCAGGACAAUUCUGAUGAAGACGAUUCUCCGUCUUUAGAUAAAAAGAUCGGGUUACAAGGGAUUCCUUGGAAGGAUUUCUCUAGGGUCGGUUUUACCCUCGGGAGAGAAAACGCUUCAACGGGUACCGAAAAAACCGACAGCACGAGAAAGAGCAAAAGGGUACCGAAAAAACGUGUUUUAGAUGGUGAUUUUGUUGACGAAGAUGACGAUGAGAUACGGUAUCUUGAAAAACUGAGAAGCGUUAGAAGUAGAGAUUACGAUGAUGAUUCGAGUAAGAAACACAGGAGUCUUUCUAGAGUUAUUAAAGACGACCCGAGCCCAUUAACGUCAGGGAGAGAUAGUGGUUCUGUUGACACAGAUUACGAGGAGGAAGAUCUGGUAUCUGAUAAUGAGAACGAAGGGAACAAGGGAAAGAAACCUCGAAGCGAUUCUCCCGAUUCUCAAAAUGUAGCUAAAAGGGAAACAACUCUCACGUCACGUCAACGUGCGAUACGUUCUGGUAGGGAUUCUGCUUCUGCCGCUACUCAAAUCGAGUUUCCAAACGGAUUGCCACCUGCCGCACCUCGAAAGCAAAAGGAGAAACUUACUGAUGUGGAGCAGCAACUUAAGAAAGCCGAGGCUGCCGAAAGACGCAGGAUUCAGAAUGAGAAAGCAGCUCGUGAAUCAGAGGCUGAAGCAAUCAGGAAGAUACUUGGUCAAGAUUCAAGUAGGAAGAAACGAGAAGACAAAUUAAAGAAGCGCCAGGAAGAGUUGGCGCAGGAAAAGGCUGCCAAUGCAAAAAUACUAGCACCCAACACUAUUCGAACAGUUAUUGGACCAACGGGAACUACUGUUGCAUUUGCGGAAGAUAUCGGUCUGCCUCAUAUUUUUAACCCAAAGUCUAGCUGUUAUCCCCCAAGAAGAGAAAGAUGUGUUGGACCAUCUUGUACGAAUGCGUACAAGUAUCGAGAUUCGAAAUUAAAGUUACCUCUUUGUAGCCUGCAAUGCUAUAAAGCGGUUCAUGAAAAGAUGCAGGCCGAAACCAUCUGCUAGUGCUUGAAGGUGUAGUAACAUUCUAGCAACUAAAUAGUUCGAGUUUUUGGGGUGUUACAAGUUGGUAUCAGAGCGGAAUUCAAGAUUUAAUCUUGUGCAUGGACCCAAAUACAUGAUCAUCUAGCCCUAACAAACACAUGGAUAGGCCCUCGGAAGUGUGGACUUAUACCUUCGGAGUUAGCAAGACUAGGGAAGCGGUAUAUCAAGCAAGAAGCAUGGAGUCUAUGAGGUAAGCGACCUUCAACUCGCUUCUUAGUAUACAUAAGGAUUUCUUGUUUGUAAUUGAAGGGAAGCUAUGUACGAUAUGAAAUAAUUGAAAGCAUUAAGAUAAGUAUUGAUAUAAAUAAUUGAAGGUAGCUUGUGGGACCAAACGGGUCGAAUAAAUAAAGAUAAGUAAGCUAACGGUAAUAAUACGGGUAAUGAACAGGGUCCCGGGAAAGGAACUUUAGUCUAACACAUAAGGAAUCGUUUUACGGAUGUUUAGGAACAGGUUUCGUGUGAAACGGAUGCAAAACGAAUAAGUUAUGCGAGUUCUAGCAUCAAUUUGGGGAGCCAAACUGGGCACCACCGUAGCUUACGGUGCCCACCGUAAGUUACGGUGGGUGCUGAACCUGUUUUCUGCCGUAAGGCAGUACAUGACUGCCGUAAGCCAUUUAAUGACCACCGUAAGCUACGGUGACCACCGUAGCUUACGGUGGAGGUCAGAUGCAAAUAUUAAGUUUGUGGAUUUCCUUGUUUUUCCUUCGAAUUCGGACCCCGUGGAAUCAUUCCAAGCCUUGUUAAGUUUUUAUAAUGUCCUUUAACCCUACCAAAUGGCUUGGUAAGUUACGGAUGAGUAUGAAAUUCAUUUUUUAAGAAUCGAAACAUAUCCGAUAGAUAUUAUAAAGUGAUUGUGAUGUGCAAAUGAGAUCGGGGUACGUAAGCGAGUUGGCGGGAUAAUGAAUUAAGUACGUGGGCAUGUAGGUAUGCAUGUAUUAAGUAGGAUUUUUUAUCUUUUAAGGAUUUGUGUUAGAUAAGACGUAUGCGUGUUAAAUUAACCGAAGGUUUUCCGAAAGAGUGAGACUUGGAUAAAGGUAUGUAUGUUCUAAUAUAUAUACGAGUAUUGAUGAUAUUAACUGAGUUAUCUAUGAGACUGAAAUGAAAGUGCAGGAAGGUAAGCGUGGGGCUCUCAGCGAUUGGAGGUCCGGUGUAAAGAACGAAUUUGGAAGAACAUCUUGAUGGAGUAGAACUCACAGAUAGAAUGCUACGAUUGUUAUUAUAUUUUCAUUAAUUUUGUAUGAUGUCAUCAUUUACUAAUGUGUUAGUGAUGUAUGGUGAUCGCAGGCUAUUCGGAUCAUUAUAUUCUUCAUGAGGAACAAGAGCAUGAGGAUCGAGUUGAAGAUCAUGGAUUGUACGGAAAAGUUGUCACGUGGGUUGUAUUCAUAUGUUAU